AUGCUCGCUUUGGUAGCAGAUAUACUAAAAUUGGAAUGAUACAGAGAAGAUUAGCAUGGCCUAUGCACAAGGAAGACACACAAAUUUGUGAAGUAUUUCAUAUUAUA